rnacentral:lncRNA from 1 species
UGACUGAAAUUCUCCCCAGCUGUGAUUUAUGAUCUGUUUAUAUACAGUCUGCCAGACCAUACUGCCAUAAAGCCUUCAAGAUUCCCAGAACCUUGGACUUUGCAUCCUUCUUCGGAUAGGAUUCUAAUUCUAGUGCCCCUACCUCAUUUUAGAAGUAACAGAAGAGAAGACACAGUCAAAUUCAAGCUUCAAAGGGGAGGUGUGGGCAUUAAUAUUGAAAAUAAUUGGACACAUGCUUGGCUAGUCAGAUGGAGUUUUUCCUCUGCCCUAUUUAUUUUGUACCACCAACACCCUAGAUAGAAGUUUCCCUGCAUGGGGAAUGGAGUGAAGAGAAUUCACAGGCGAGUGAGAGAACUGGAUUGUUCAGAAAUAGUAAGCCUGUACAAUUUUAUCAAGAAUUUACAGUCUAAACUGAAUUCUUAAAAGGUAUAAUGCUACUAGAAUCCUACAGCAUGCUCUGUGACCCAUAUUUCCUGCAGAAUGAUAUUUCAGUUAAUUCUACGGAGAAAUGUCUUUUAAAGCUCUUAUAUGAAAUGAUACAGUUCUCAUAUCACAAAUUUAAAUGUUCAAGAAAUGUAAUUUCUCAUCUUAUCCAGAGUUUUAUCUAAAUGUCUAAAAUGUAGAGAAUGCCAGGCCAGAGUAAAGUUGAGGAAUUUAGGAGCAGGGAAUAGGUGAAGAGGAACUGGGAAGAGGCUAAAAUGAAGCAUUUAGGCCUCCUCAUUCCUUUCUAAUCUCAAAGUGUCAGUCCAGAGUUUGUGGCUCCAUACUCCUUAUCUUGGCUGUAAGAUAACUCCUGGACUAGCUUCUCCCAGCUGCAUAUGAAUGUCUAAAUGCUUAGGACUGUGUCAAGAUUGAUGCUUACCCACAUUUUUUCCAAGAAUGGAGGAGUGAUCAACUAAGCAAACAUUUGGUUAAUGAUUAAGCUAAUACCUUGGUAAAUAAAUAUGGUAAAUAAGUAUCUGGAAGAAACAUAGAAAAUGUCCUCCUCACCCAGGAUAAAGGAUUACUUAAUUCAUUGAUUAAUUCAAUUGUUUGCAUUUUCAGUAAAUACAUAUUGAGAUUUGUUUUAAUGUGCAAAAAAUUGUCAAGCUCUUUUAUUUUUUCAAUAAUAAAAAAAUACAACCUUUGAUCACAAAGAGAUGACAUA